rnacentral:lncRNA from 10 species
GGAAAAUUUCAAGAUAAAUCUUGAGGAUAAGUCAGAAUUAUACAGUCCAAGCUCACUGCAGUUAAAUCUUCAGUCUCCAGCACUGCACUUGGGAAAGCGUCAAGGAGUUGAAUGUAUAUGUAAUUGGAGUGCCAGAAGAAGAGAACUGAGAGAGAGGGGCAGAACAGCUCAUGAGGGGGAAAACCCACUACAUACAAACAAGAAUACUGCAGACUCCUCAUCAGAAUCUAUGCUACCUGUAAAGGCUUGUAAAAGCACAGAGCUGCUCUCACCAUGCAGCCAAAGAAGAAAU